GUCACGUGAAGCAGAUUUGGUUAAAGGAGAAGAGAUGUGUUGUUAAUGGCUUGCUGCUUUAAUUCAAGAAACCCUAUAGUAAGGAAUUUGUAAGUGUUUGGGUUCGGGAUCCAAGAACACAAAAAGGAGACUCCUGGCAGUCCUAUGUCGAUUAUGAGAUUUGUGUUCAUACAAAUAGCAUGUGUUUCAAAAAGAAGACAUCCUGUGUUAGAAGAAGAUACAGAGUCGGUAUCACUAUAGCAACGACUUCAAGAUAAUGCACUAGUAAUUUCAUCCUCCGUGCUGGGACAUGCCAGUGAUGACAGCGCCCCACAAGACUGCAAAACAAAAGUAAGGGAGGGGGAACUCUUUAGCUUGCUGUUGGCAUCUCUGUCUGAAGAACACAAAGUACAGCCCUGAAAUGACAAGACUCAAGAGAGCAGGAGAGAGAGUUUAUUCAUCUCUAGAUUCUACAUUACAAGGAAAGAACAGACAAAAUCCAAGUCUGUUUUUUAAUCCAUUUUAUACUUGUCAUCAGGUGGAGUGUAUUUAUUUUAUAAUUGUGUUGUCACUCAAUGAAGCUACAUAAUGUGACAGUAAAUAAAAAAAGAAAAGAAAAGAUGACCAAAUAGGGUUAUCAACAUCGUGCUGUAGAAAAAUGACCAACCCAUGUACAGUGAGUAACUUCCUUGUUAAACUUCUAAAGUUGAUAACAUAUAUCCAUUGUAUUUAAGUAUAGAUGUUGUUCAAAUCUUAAAGCCAGACCCCUUAUUUACCAAGUUAUAGAUCUCUGAGUGUGCACCCCAGUGCUUCACUGUGAAUAGUAAUUGCACAAAAAAGUUCUAGUAAUUAUUUGCAAAACUCUCAAGUGAACUUAGUCUGGUUGAAAAAAGAGAACAAUAAAUAGUAAUAAAAAAAUGUGCCUUGCACUUGUUUACAAAUUUCUGUGGGUGACUCAAAUUAGCCUCAGGAACCUUCAGCCCAUUUAGUUUUUGGGCGAAGUGUGGCAAACAUAAAACACAAUUUCCUGCCAUGUCUGUAUUUUCAGGGGCUUAUUCUGGAUAUAAUUAAGCAGUUUCAAGUGAUGUGGGUAGUACUAGUACAGCUUUAUGUCAAUUUAAAUACACACGCACACGCACACGCACAUGCACACGCACACACACACAGAGCUCGUGAA